GGACUACAGGGGUAUCUAAUCCUGUUUGAUCCCCACGCUUUCGCGCCUCAGCGUCAGUUGUCGUCCAGAUAGCCGCCUUCGCCACCGGUGUUCCUGCUAAUAUCUACGAAUUUCACCUCUACAUUAGCAAUUCCGCUAUCCCCUCCGACACUCAAGCUUUACAGUUUCAAAGGCAAUUCCACGGUUGAGCCGUGGGAUUUCACCCCUGACUUGAAAAGCCGCCUACGCGCGCUUUACGCCCAGUAAUUCCGAACAACGCUAGCACCCUUCGUAUUACCGCGGCUGCUGGCAC
rnacentral:rRNA from 1 species